rnacentral:rRNA from 1 species
CUCAGAUUGAACGCUGGCGGCAGGCCUAACACAUGCAAGUCGAACGGUAACAGGAAGCAGCUUGCUGCUUCGCUGACGAGUGGCGGACGGGUGAGUAAUGUCUGGGAAACUGCCUGAUGGAGGGGGAUAACUACUGGAAACGGUAGCUAAUACCGCAUAACGUCGCAAGACCAAAGAGGGGGACCUUCGGGCCUCUUGCCAUCGGAUGUGCAGAUGGGAUUAGCUAGUAGGUGGGGUAACGGCUCACCUAGGCGACGAUCCCUAGCUGGUCUGAGAGGAUGACCAGCACACUGGAACUGAGACACGGUCCAGACUCCUACGGGAGGCAGCAGUGGGGAAUAUUGCACAAUGGGCGCAAGCCUGAUGCAGCCAUGCCGCGUGUAUGAAGAAGGCCUCGGGUUGUAAAGUACUUUCAGCGGGGAGGAAGGGAGUAAAGUUAAUACCUUUGCUCAUUGACGUUACCCGCAGAAGAAGCACCGGCUAACUCCGUGCCAGCAGCCGCGGUAAUACGGAGGGUGCAAGCGUUAAUCGGAAUACUGGGCGUAAAGCGCACGCAGGCGGUUUGUUAAGUCAGAUGUGAAAUCCCCGGGCUCAACCUGGGAACUGCAUCUGAUACUGGCAAGCUUGAGUCUCGUAGAGGGGGGUAGAAUUCCAGGUGUAGCGGUGAAAUGCGUAGAGAUCUGGAGGAAUACCGGUGGCGAAGGCGGCCCCCUGGACGAAGACUGACGCUCAGGUGCGAAAGCGUGGGGAGCAAACAGGAUUAGAUACCUGGUAGUCCACGCCGUAAACGAUGUCGACUUGGAGGUUGUGCCUUGAGGCGUGGCUUCCGGAGCUAACGCGUUAAGUCGACCGCCUGGGGAGUACGGCCGCAAGGUUAAAACUCAAAUGAAUUGACGGGGGCCCGCACAAGCGGUGGAGCAUGUGGUUUAAUUCGAUGCAACGCGAAGAACCUUACCUGGUCUUGACAUCCACGGAAGUUUUCAGAGAUGAGAAUGUGCCUUCGGGAACCGUGAGACAGGUGCUGCAUGGCUGUCGUCAGCUCGUGUUGUGAAAUGUUGGGUUAAGUCCCGCAACGAGCGCAACCCUUAUCCUUUGUUGCCAGCGGUCCGGCCGGGAACUCAAAGGAGACUGCCAGUGAUAAACUGGAGGAAGGUGGGGAUGACGUCAAGUCAUCAUGGCCCUUACGACCAGGGCUACACACGUGCUACAAUGGCGCAUACAAAGAGAAGCGACCUCGCGAGAGCAAGCGGACCUCAUAAAGUGCGUCGUAGUCCGGAUUGGAGUCUGCAACUCGACUCCAUGAAGUCGGAAUCGCUAGUAAUCGUGGAUCAGAAUGCCACGGUGAAUACGUUCCGGGCCUUGUACACACCGCCCGUCACACCAUGGGAGUGGGUUGCAAAAGAAGUAGGUAGCUUAACCUUCGGGAGGGCGCUUACCACUUUGUGAUUCAUGACUGGACGAUGUCACUACUGAGAAA